AGAAGGACAGAGCUGCUACACCCCAUAUUCUGCACAGUUUUUGUCUGGGUGAGUGAGAAUGCCAAGACUUGUCUGAUGACAUGCAAGGCUGAGUCUCUGGCAGCAGCGAUGGUGUGUCCAGUUGGAGAGCGUCCGAUGGGCCAGGCAGGUGAGUCUCCUCAGUUGGGGAAGUGGCAGCCAGCAUCGCUGGAAUGGCCGACUCUGGAGUAAUCCGGUUGGAACGUCACCGUAGCCUUUCCCCAAGAGGUGACAGGAUCGUGCUGUGCCAGCCAUGUCAUUCCCAGCACCACCAGGAAUUGAGGCAAAUCAGCUAGACAGAACAACAUCCUUUCCAUGUGUCCCGGUAUCUCCACUCUCAACUCCACGGUGGCCUGAGUCACCACCCCCGACAUCAGGGACCACUCAUCAAUGGUUUCCACAGACAACAGGAUCUCGAGCUUGAUGAUUAGCAUGCUAUGCCUCUUGACAAAGUUCAAAUCCAUAAAGUUGCUGGAUGCACUUGAAUCUACCACAGCAAACACCUGAAUGUCUUGCCCUGUUGGCAAGCCUAGGCGGACUGGCAAAUGAAGGGCAGAGUUCAGAGUUCUCUCUCCACAAUUUCCAGGUUUCCUCCUACCUUCUCUCUUUUUUCUUUCUUCUGUAAGACUUUUCUGUCUUGUCCUUUGACACCUUCAACCUCUGUUCCCUUUCACUUGUAAUUUUACUGAGAUCUUCCCUUCAACACUCCAGCAUCUUGCUUCUUGCUGCUGAGUAAUGAUGCACAGCUGCUGCCAUCCUGCAGCGCCUUCCUGUUUGCAUUUGAGGGAGCUGCGAGAGGAGCAGCAGAGAAUGUAACCAGAGCAACAGCUCUUGCUAUUGUUUAACAAACAGACACAAGAAAGUAACAGGAGGAAACAAGAUUACAUUAAUGGAAUGCUUUAUUGUAUUUCAGAAAUCAAAAGUGUU